rnacentral:rRNA from 1 species
AAAACGACUCUCGACAACGGAUAUCUCGGCUCUCGCAUCGAUGAAGAACGUAGCAAAAUGCGAUACUUGGUGUGAAUUGCAGAAUCCCGUGAACCAUCGAGUUUUUGAACGCAAGUUGCGCCUAAAGCCAUUAGGUUGAGGGCACGUCUGCCUGGGCGGCUCGC